CAUGCAAGUCGAACGCGUCUCCGUUAAUGAUUUUAGGUGCUUGCACUUGAAAGAUUUAACAUUGAGACGAGUGGCGAACUGGUGAGUAACACGUGGGUAACCUGCCCUUGAAGUAGGGGAUAACACUUGGAAACAGGUGCUAAUACCGUAUAACAACCAAAACCACCUGGUUUUGGUUUAAAAGACGGCUUCGGCUGUCACUUUAGGAUGGACCCGCGGCGUAUUAGCUUGUUGGUAAGGUAACGGCCUACCAAGGCGAUGAUACGUAGCCGACCUGAGAGGGUAAUCGGCCACAUUGGGACUGAGACACGGCCCAAACUCCUACGGGAGGCAGCAGUAGGGAAUCUUCCACAAUGGACGAAAGUCUGAUGGAGCAACGCCGCGUGAGUGAUGAAGGGUUUCGGCUCGUAAAACUCUGUUGUUGGAGAAGAACAGGUGUCAGAGUAACUGUUGACAUCUUGACGGUAUCCAACCAGAAAGCCACGGCUAACUACGUGCCAGCAGCCGCGGUAAUACGUAGGUGGCAAGCGUUGUCCGGAUUUAUUGGGCGUAAAGCGAGCGCAGGCGGUUUUUUAGGUCUGAUGUGAAAGCCUUCGGCUUAACCGGAGAAGUGCAUCGGAAACCGGGAGACUUGAGUGCAGAAGAGGACAGUGGAACUCCAUGUGUAGCGGUGAAAUGCGUAGAUAUAUGGAAGAACACCAGUGGCGAAGGCGGCUGUCUGGUCUGUAACUGACGCUGA
rnacentral:rRNA from 1 species